rnacentral:rRNA from 1 species
GAUGAACGCUAGCGGGAGGCCUAACACAUGCAAGCCGAGCGGUAUUUGUUCUUCGGAACAGAGAGAGCGGCGCACGGGUGCGGAACACGUGUGCAACCUGCCUUUAUCUGGGGGAUAGCCUUUCGAAAGGAAGAUUAAUACCCCAUAAUAUAUUGAGUGGCAUCACUUGAUAUUGAAAACUCCGGUGGAUAGAGAUGGGCACGCGCAAGAUUGGAUAGUUGGUGAGGUAACGGCUCACCAAGUCAAUGAUCUUUAGGGGGCCUGAGAGGGUGAUCCCCCACACUGGUACUGAGACACGGACCAGACUCCUACGGGAGGCAGCAGUGAGGAAUAUUGGACAAUGGGUUAGCGCCUGAUCCAGCCAUCCCGCGUGAAGGACGACGGCCCUAUGGGUUGUAAACUUCUUUUGUAUAGGGAUAAACCUACUCUCGUGAGAGUAGCUGAAGGUACUAUACGAAUAAGCACCGGCUAACUCCGUG